UCCCACUUCCGCGCCGAUUUGAUUGUUCAGCUUGCGGGCGCGUUACAAAUUCCGCUAAAGAGACGCGUCGACCAGGCC
rnacentral:ncRNA from 2 species